rnacentral:lncRNA from 1 species
AGAGAUCUUAAUACCAAGAAGCUGCCUUACAAUCGCAACUUGUGAACCCGCAGAGCAUCUCUUUCCUUUUCUAGUACCUUGGAAUGCCCUAGUCCCUGCUGAGAAAGGAAAAGGCCCUUCCUUCAAAUGCCUGCUCCCAGGUUUGUCUUGCUGGUGCAGCUGCGGAAUGUCUGUCCCUCCGACAUUAAAUGCCGAUGCAGAAGGGUGAGUUCCCAGGCCAAGAUUAGCGUGAUGGGAUGGUGUCUUCUCAAGGAUUCCAGCUAA